rnacentral:rRNA from 1 species
UGGGGAAUAUUGCACAAUGGGCGAAAGCCUGAUGCAACAACGCCGCGUGAGUGAUGAAGGCCUUCGGGUUGUAAAGCUCUGUCUUUUGGGACGAUAAUGACGGUACCAAAGGAGGAAGCCACGGCUAACUACGUGCCAGCAGCCGCGGUAAUACGUAGGUGGCGAAGCGUUGUCCGGAUUUACUGGGCGUAAAGGAUGCGUAGGCGGAUUUUUAAGUGAGAUGUGAAAACCCUAAGNUUAACUUGGGGACUGCAUUUCAUACUGGGAAAAUCUAGAGUGCGGGAGAGGAGAAUGGAAUUCCUAGUGUAGCGGUGAAAUGCGUAGAGAUUAGGAAGAACACCAGUGGCGAAGGCGAUUCUCUGGACCGUAACUGACGCUGAGGCAUGAAAGCGUGGGUAGCAAACAGGGAUUAGAUACCCUGGUAGUCCACGCCGUAAACGAUGAGUACUAGGUGUAGGAGGUAUCGACCCCUUCUGUGCCGCAGUUAACACAAUAAGUACUCCGCCUGGGAGUACGAUCGCAAGAUUAAAACUUAAAGGAAUUGACGGGGGUCAUAGCUG